rnacentral:rRNA from 1 species
CCUACGGGAGGCAGCAGUGGGGAAUAUUGCACAAUGGGGGAAACCCUGAUGCAGCGACGCCGCGUGAGUGAAGAAGUAUUUCGGGAUGUAAAGUUCUUUUAGCAGGGAAGAAAAUGAUGGUACCUGAUUAAGAAGCCCCGGCUAACUACGUGACAGCAGCCGCGGUAAUACGUCGGGGGCAAGCGUUAUCCGGAUUUAAUGGGUGUAAAGGGAGCGUAGUCGGCAGUGCAAGUCUGAAGUGAAAUGCCGGGGCUUAACCCCGGGACUGCUUUGGAAACUGUGCAGCUAGAGUGCAGGAGAGGUAAGUGGAAUUCCUGGUGUAGCGGUGAAAUGCGUAGAUAUUAGGAGGAACACCAGUGGCGAAGGCGGCUUACUGGACUGUAACUGACGUUGAGGCUCGAAAGCGUGGGGAGCAAACAGGAUUAGAUACCCGAGUAGUC